rnacentral:tRNA from 1 species
GCCUGGGUGGCUCAGUUAAGCGUCUGACUUUGGCUCAGGUCAUGAUCUCACGGUUCGUGGGUUCGAGCCCCAUGUCGGGCU